UAGAACGCUGAAGAGAGGAGCUUGCUCUUCUUGGAUGAGUUGCGAACGGGUGAGUAACGCGUAGGUAACCUGCCUUGUAGCGGGGGAUAACUAUUGGAAACGAUAGCUAAUACCGCAUAACAAUGGGUGACACAUGUCAUUUAUUUGAAAGGGGCAAUUGCUCCACUACGAGAUGGACCUGCGUUGUAUUAGCUAGUAGGUGAGGUAACGGCUCACCUAGGCGACGAUACAUAGCCGACCUGAGAGGGUGAUCGGCCACACUGGGACUGAGACACGGCCCAGACUCCUACGGGAGGCAGCAGUAGGGAAUCUUCGGCAAUGGGGGCAACCCUGACCGAGCAACGCCGCGUGAGUGAAGAAGGUUUUCGGAUCGUAAAGCUCUGUUGUAAGUCAAGAACGAGUGUGAGAGUGGAAAGUUCACACUGUGACGGUAGCUUACCAGAAAGGGACGGCUAACUACGUGCCAGCAGCCGCGGUAAUACGUAGGUCCCGAGCGUUGUCCGGAUUUAUUGGGCGUAAAGCGAGCGCAGGCGGUUUGAUAAGUCUGAAGUUAAAGGCUGUGGCUCAACCAUAGUUCGCUUUGGAAACUGUCAAACUUGAGUGCAGAAGGGGAGAGUGGAAUUCCAUGUGUAGCGGUGAAAUGCGUAGAUAUAUGGAGGAACACCGGUGGCGAAAGCGGCUCUCUGGUCUGUAACUGACGCU
rnacentral:rRNA from 1 species